rnacentral:rRNA from 1 species
AUACGGAGGGGGCUAGCGUUGUUCGGAAUUACUGGGUGUAAAGCGCGCGUAGGCGGAUCGUUAAGUCAGGGGUGAAAGCCCGGAGCUCAACUCCGGAACUGCCCUUGAUACUGGCGAUCUCGAGUCCGGGAGAGGUGAGCGGAAUUCCUAGUGUAGAGGUGAAAUUCGUAGAUAUUAGGAGGAACACCAGUGGCGAAGGCGGCUCACUGGCCCGGUACUGACGCUGAGGUGCGAAAGCGUGGGGAGCAAACAGGAUUAGAAACCCCAGUAGUCC